rnacentral:rRNA from 1 species
UACGGAGGAUGCAAGCGUUAUCCGGAAUGAUUGGGCGUAAAGCGUCCGCAGGUGGUUUUGUAAGUCUAUUGUUAAAGCGUGCGGCUUAACCGCAUAAGGGCAGUGGAAACUACAAGACUAGAGUGCGUUCGGGGCAGAGGGAAUUCCUGGUGUAGCGGUGAAAUGCGUAGAGAUCAGGAAGAACACCGGUGGCGAAAGCGCUCUGCUAGGCCGCAACUGACACUGAGGGACGAAAGCUAGGGGAGCGAAUGGG